rnacentral:rRNA from 1 species
GAUGAACGCUGGCGGCGUGCCUAACACAUGCAAGUCGAGCGAACCCUUCGGGGUGAGCGGCGGACGGGUGAGUAACGCGUGGGUAACCUGCCCUGUACACACGGAUAACAUACCGAAAGGUAUGCUAAUACGAGAUAAUAUGUAAUGAUCGCAUGGUCGAUACAUCAAAGCUCCGGCGGUACAGGAUGGACCCGCGUCUGAUUAGCUAGUUGGUGAGGUAAUGGCUCACCAAGGCGACGAUCAGUAGCCGACCUGAGAGGGUGAUCGGCCACAUUGGAACUGAGACACGGUCCAAACUCCUACGGGAGGCAG